UACAGAGGUCUCAACCGUUGUUCGGAAUCACUGGGCGUAAAGGGUGCGUAGGCGGGUCUUUAAGUCAGGGGUGAAAUCCUGGAGCUCAACUCCAGAACUGCCUUUGAUACUGAGGAUCUUGAGUUCGGGAGAGGUGAGUGGAACUGCGAGUGUAGAGGUGAAAUUCGUAGAUAUUCGCAAGAACACCAGUGGCGAAGGCGGCUCACUGGCCCGAUACUGACGCUGAGGCACGAAAGCGUGGGGAGCAAACAGG
rnacentral:rRNA from 1 species